rnacentral:rRNA from 1 species
CUAUGCGCCUUGCCAGCCCGCUCAGGUGUGCCAGCCGCCGCGGUAAUACGUAGGUGGCGAGCGUUGUCCGGAUUUACUGGGCGUAAAGGGAGCGUAGGCGGACUUUUAAGUGAGAUGUGAAAUACUCGGGCUCAACUUGAGUGCUGCAUUUCAAACUGGAAGUCUAGAGUGCAGGAGAGGAGAAUGGAAUUCCUAGUGUAGCGGUGAAAUGCGUAGAGAUUAGGAAGAACACCAGUGGCGAAGGCGAUUCUCUGGACUGUAACUGACGCUGAGGCUCGAAAGCGUGGGGGAGCAAACAGG